rnacentral:tRNA from 1 species
GCGUUGGUGGUUCAGUGGUAGAAUUCUAGCCUUCCAUGUGAGAGACCCGGGUUUGAUCUCCAACCAACACA